UACAGAGGUCUCAAGCGUUGUUCGGAUUCAUUGGGCGUAAAGGGUGCGUAGGCGGCGCGGUAAGUCGGGUGUGAAAUCUUGGAGCUUAACUCCGAAACUGCAUUCGAUACUGCCGUGCUUGAGGACUGGAGAGGAGACUGGAAUUUACGGUGUAGCGGUGAAAUGCGUAGAUAUCCUAAGGAACACCGGUGGCGAAAGCGGCUCACUGGAUCUCUUCUGACGCUGAGGCACGAAAGCUAGGGUAGCGAACGGG
rnacentral:rRNA from 1 species